rnacentral:rRNA from 1 species
AUUGAACGCUGGCGGCAGGCCUAACACAUGCAAGCCGAGCGGAUGACGGGAGCUUGCUCCUUGAUUCAGCGGCGGACGGGUGAGUAAUGCCUAGGAAUCUGCCUGGUAGUGGGGGACAACGUUUCGAAAGGAACGCUAAUACCGCAUACGUCCUACGGGAGAAAGCAGGGGACCUUCGGGCCUUGCGCUAUCAGAUGAGCCUAGGUCGGAUUAGCUAGUUGGUGGGGUAAUGGCUCACCAAGGCGACGAUCCGUAACUGGUCUGAGAGGAUGAUCAGUCACACUGGAACUGAGACACGGUCCAGACUCCUACGGGAGGCAGCAGUGGGGAAUAUUGGACAAUGGGCGAAAGCCUGAUCCAGCCAUGCCGCGUGUGUGAAGAAGGUCUUCGGAUUGUAAAGCACUUUAAGUUGGGAGGAAGGGCAGUAAGCUAAUACCUUGCUGUUUUGACGUUACCGACAGAAUAAGCACCGGCUAACUCUGUGCCAGCCGCCGCAGUAAAAC